AACGCGAAGAACCUUACCAAGGCUUGACAUGUUCUCGAUCGCCGUAGAGAUACGGUUUCCCCUUUGGGGCGGGUUCACAGGUGGUGCAUGGUUGUCGUCAGCUCGUGUCGUGAGAUGUUGGGUUAAGUCCCGCAACGAGCGCAACCCUCGUUCCAUGUUGCCAGCACGUAAUGGUGGGGACUCAUGGGAGACUGCCGGGGUCAACUCGGAGGAAGGUGAGGACGACGUCAAAUCAUCAUGCCCCUUAUGUCUUGGGCUUCACGCAUGCUACAAUGGCCGGUACAAUGGGUUGCGAUACUGUGAGGUGGAGCUAAUCCCAAAAAGCCGGUCUCAGUUCGGAUUGGGGUCUGCAACUCGACCCCAUGAAGUCGGAGUCGCUAGUAAUCGCAGAUCAGCA
rnacentral:rRNA from 1 species